CGUAGUGCACGAUGGGACACAUCGUGUCCGCAGACGGGUGGGAAAAUCAAAAUGGCUGCCGACAGGUCCAGACGUUACCAAAAGAUUGACUUUCUUGGCGAAGGACAGUUUGCCACUGUGUACAAAGCAAAGGACACCAAAACAGGACAGAUUGUUGCUGUGAAAAAGAUUAAAUUAGGGCAAAGAGCCGAGGCUAAAGAUGGUA